AUGCCGACCACCGACCACAUCUCCUCGCCGCCGCAGCCGGCGUCGCCGGGCGUUGGCGCCGUCGCCCUCUCGUCCGCCGUCGGCGAGCUACUCCGCUUCGUCCUCUCCUCCCACGUCGCCGCCCCGGACCCGGCCCUCCCUCUGUCCCUCUCUUAUUGCUCCCGCCUCCUCGAAGACGACCUGUGCGAUAAGCUGGCCACGGAGCUUGCAGGGUGCGCCGAGGAGGGGCGGAUCCCGAGACCCCCAGUGGUAGCGGGGGCGGUAGGAACUCCUGCCGAGGAGAAUGGUUCGCGUAAGAGGGAGGGGGAGUGGGAGGCGGUCCUGCGCGAGAAAGGCGGCGAGUUAAAGCGGAUUUAUGAUGUAGUGGAGUUUGUGCUACAUGUUCAAGAACCAUACUUCACUCAACUCAGUGCUGGAUCCAAGAACGUUGAAGGGAGGUUAGCAGCUGGUAAUUACAACAGGAUUACACAAGGUUCUUUGUUGCUCUUCAAUAAAUGCCUCUUGCUUGAGGUUGAGGCAGUUAGAAAGUACAGUUCGUUCUCUGAGAUGCUGCAAACAGAGACGAUCUCAAAUGUCCUUCCUGGUAUUUCAUCAAUUGAAGAAGGUGUCAAAGUUUAUAGAAAAUUCUACACAGAGGAAAAGGAGAACUCUUAUGGAGUCUUGGCAAUAUCUGUCUCAAAGCCGCAAAUCCAACCUUACAUAACCAUGACUGAGCUUCUUGCUGGAUUGGGUUACGAUGGAUUAGGUAGACUCCUUGGUCUGGCAAACACAUCAGGAACAGUUCCAGAUGGACUGCCUCCUCCAAAAUCCAUGUUGAUUUCAUCUUGUAUGAAACUACACAAGCCAACUGUGAAAAGUUGUUCUUUAACUGAUGCUGCAAGGGCAUUGGCCAAACAUGUUCACAGGAGUAGGGAUGGGUGGUGGGGCUGCCUCCAUGGAAGUGAUCCAAAGAAGAAUCAAAUUUCGUCUGAAGUCAUUGACCGUUUGUUACGUGAGGGCUGUUGGAUUAAUAUUCAUCUGACACAGCCCAAUAGGCCUGUUUUUGAAAUUCGUGUGUAUGAAGGUUAUGGUGCCCGAUGGUCUCAUGAUGGUUUGAAGUUCAUUGGAUUCUUGGAGCCUUACACACCAGAUGGCUUUCUCAACGGUUGGAAACACUAG
rnacentral:rRNA from 1 species